UUCUUUUAUUUUGAUGAUCCUGUUUCCUACUUAGAUUUUAUGUGACUUUUAUUUUGACAUCAUACUAUCUGCUAACGUGAUUAAUCGCUCGCGCUCAUGCUCACAUUUGUUCAAUAGAAGACACGAGAAGCUAGCUAGCAACUUAAUAAUUUAAGCUAAUGGCGGCGGACUUCCCUGGAUUACCACUUUAUAGCACCCUUUGAUAUGCGGAGCGAGUUUUCAUGGUGUUGGUGUUGGUGUUGGUGCUAUGCACACUCAUCUGAAUUAAAGUACACCCGUCUGGAAACA